AAGCUAGAAAUGUUGUGUAACAGAAGAAAAAAUAAACGCAUGGUUCUUGGAACUUAGCGUGUGUUGUACAUGGUUCUUUUCCUCAUUGUUUUCUUCUUAUUAGUAUUAAAAUAUGCAGAUCUCCAUGUAUUCAAGAAAACAAAAUAAACCAAGAAGCUACUGUAGUACAUCCGACAAAAGUGGCAAACAACAAGCAAGACAAGAUUAUCCCUGAUGAUGAUUAACUGUUUACCAACUCAAAGUGCACCAGACUGCAUCGGAUUAAAAUUGCGAGUUGGGCUUCCUGCACGGCUUCGUCCUGGAAGAUUCUCCACUUGGUAAGUCAGUAACUCAGAUUACGUUCAGCCUCUUUCUCUUUUCAUUUUCCUGAUGAGAACAUAGCAUUGUGGUUAGCACCAUAAAAAAACAGAAUAGUAAGCAAUCCAUGAAGGAAAUUUCUAUUUUAACCUAUGGAUGAUCAUAUCUAUCUAUCUAAGUGAAAAGUAAAACUCAAAAAGCAACCAGAAUUAGCCACAUCAUCCGUCAAAUAAUAGCCGUUGGAUUCACAAAAUGAUAAAAUAGCAAGGAAAAAUCCUAGCCAUUGAAAUGAGGAAUCUUCUAGAAGUGGUAAAAUACAUAGAGAAGGAAGAGUUUGAGCCACUCAUUGCCUCUCAUUGUAAUCUCAUGUUGGCCUCCCAAACAGGCUUGGCUUGGCCAAUCAACCCAAACGGUCCUUAGACUAGAUGACUAAUUAAAUAAUUUUAGAAAAUUAACAUCUAAUUAUUGAUUUAACUGAAUGGUGGAAAUUUUAUUGUUAAUUACAAUAACGAUUAAUAGAUAGGAAGGUUAUUGUCGCGCGAACGUGCGACUUCAUUCACUAGUUAUUGUGAAAAGGUUGCAAUAUCAAGUCUUUGAUUCUCUAGCCCAUAGGACAUGGAUUAUAUAUGCUCUAUCUCAAAAUUCAAACCAACAACCAAACAAUAUCCCCUUUUGUUUUGGAUUGCCUAAGGUUGACAAAGGGAUUAAUUCUACACUAUGGUGAGUUGGUGAUGGUAACAUCAGUUUUGCUUUUUUUUUAACCUUUUCUCUCUUCCAAAGUACUUUUCAGAAGUCUAAAAGGUUAAAAGAGCAUGGGAGAAUAACAUGUACAUGGAAAAUCACACCUAAAAAUUAAGAAAAUAUAUUAUUACUUGAACCAUCAGUGGUAUGAGAUAGAAAAUGUUAUCUCAAAAAAAGUAUGAAAUAGAAAUGAGAGGAUGAGAUUUUACCAAAUAAUUUCAGCAGAGAUCAAAGCAAGGCAGUUAGAAGCAUACAGAAUGACCCAGUACUUUAAAAGGCAUUAAUUCCUCACCUAAUGGCAGCCGCGAUCUUUCAUGUAGGAACAUUCCCUCUUAGCAUCCUGUAAGUUGACUUCUGUUAAGCGUUGAUGUGGACUUCUUAUUACAGUGAAUAAUAUUUGCCUGCUUUGUUCAGUGAAUUGACCUUAGUGGGUGCUGAAUCAGGAGAUCCUACCUAACUGAAUCUGCAAUAAGAAACCCGAUCGCAAGGAACUGUAGUCACAAGAAUUCUUGGCUACUGCCAUCUGUAUCCUCCUCUUAACAGCAGUAGUACAGGAGUGAGCAUACCGAUUAUGUAAACUCAGUUAAGCAUGAAUGAAAUGGAGAACACGUAAAGCACAAUAUAUCCUUUCCUGUUCUCAUAUCUUCCUUAACUGUAUGCCUUUUUUAGUAACAACAAAUCCCAUAUUUUGUGCAUGGCCUUUUUGAGAAUAUUUUUUUCUGACUUUACAUAAAACAUUGCUCUUCAUAUAAGCAUGUGCAAUAAAGAAAUGGACUAUAAGCAUAGGAAGGAAUGUGCAGGCUCCUAGUACUAGGGCACAACACAAUCAUAGGCCUAUAAUUUGCAGUUGAGAAAGCAAGAUCAGGUGGCUAAUGACCCAAUCUGAUGAAAUAGAUUCAUCUAGCUUGCUGCAGCCUCAAACCUCUGAUGCUAGCUAAGAUAGAGACAAGAAUGACAUAUACAUCACAUAUUUUGGCUUGAGCUGCCCCCCACAUUACCCAUCCCAAUCAUUAAAAAACAAAAAGGAGAAUGGCAUAUGGUUCUUACUGUUUGUAGUGGGGCUAUCACAGUAGAACCCCAGAGGCAAACCUUUUUCUUAAAUAAAAAAGAGAUGCAAACGUUUUUCAUUAGAGGUCAGUUUUAGUUGACUUUUGAUUUUCUCUACCCCCAUCUUUAUUUUGUAUUGUUGAGAAGGUAUCAACUGUGCUCCAUAUUACAAAAGCAUCAAGCAUACUGGCAAAGGUACCCGCCUUUAUUGGCAAGUAAACCUAGAGAAAAGCACACUCACCUCAAAUGAGGAAAAAAAAGAUUAUAGUUUCCAUACUGGUUUAGUAGCAUUCAUUCACAUAGCUAAACAUGUAAACAGGACCAAUUUCACUAGGAAAUAUUGUAUCAUGGCUGAGACAAUUUCUUUUUACACAAAAUCAGGAACAUUUCUGAUUUGUAUUUCACCACUGUACUCUUCUUAUUGAUGUGGGGAGUAUUUCCUUUUUUACAAAAGAAAAAGAAUCAGAUGGUGUUCCUAAUAAGCGCCUAGACUAAUUCAAGGGUUUGCAUUUAGCAGUUGAUUUAACUGUAGCAGCAACACGGUAAGAACAUUUGUUGCAAGUUAGUAUCUGUACCUUCAUGAAGAGUGCACCACGUUCAUGCUGCAACCUGCAAGUGGACUUUCAUUUCUACCUGAUUUGGUUCCCAUAUCCAUGUUGAUUUGGUGUCGACACCUGAUAGAUAUUUCUAUCGAUGUAAUUGUGAUGGUAUACCGACACAAGUUGUGGUAUAUAAUUCUUCCUGCUUUGCUUUCUCCUAAUCUUAGUGCAACGAUGCACAAUUCUUCUAUGUAUUCCCAAAAAACAAUUCUUUCUGCUUUUUCUUCCGCGUCGAAUUUCCUCCAUUGGAAUAAGUUUUCUGUCUUUCUGAAAGUCCACGGAUUUAUGCACGAUACCUCUAGCAAUAACUUAUCAGUUCCAUCUAGCAGUAACUGGAAACUAGAUGUCAAAAGAAAAGCUCAAUGGCCGGACAAUAAGUUUGUUUAUGAUUAUUCCUUGCAUUUUAUCUAAGGUUGUCCCAUACGGAGUUGCACCAAUUUGUGGGCAGAAGGCAGUGGGCAUUAGUACUCCAUGCAAUAAGCAUAGAAAUGCUUGGUGGACACAAAAUGAGAUUAAAAAAGACAGGAAACAACAUUUAUAUAUUAUGGUUCCCUCUCCACUGCCAAAGAUGCAUCAUGAUAAAUCUGUGUGCAAUAUAAAUCGAUCGCCUUAGUUUGCUUGCAUGGGAACUUUAGGCAUCUGUCACCAUGUGUGUAUCUCUGUGUGCAAGGUUUGUCAGCAUUGCAUAGGAUUCUUAGCUCCAGAGAAAAAUGCCUCAAAUCCUUUUUAUCCUGCCCAUCCCUUGAGCAUUCCAGACUCAAGAUGCUCAUCCCAUGACAGCUUGCAGCGAGCACAGUGCGAAAAGCCGCACUGUCCUGCGAUGCAGAUUCAAGGGAUUGUCCGACAUAUAUUCCCUCUUCAGAGCUUCACUAUAAAUACAGACCAACUGGGGUUGUGC
rnacentral:lncRNA from 1 species